GACGAACGCUGGCGGCGUGCCUAAUACAUGCAAGUCGAACGCUGACGGGAGUAGCUUGCCCUUCUUGGAUGAGUUGCGAACGGGUGAGUAACGCGUAGGUAACCUGGCUUGUAGCGGGGGAUAACUAUUGGAAACGAUAGCUAAUACCGCAUAACGAUGGAUGCCACAUGUCAAUUAUUUGAAAUGGGCCUUUGCUCCACUACAAGAUGGACCUGGGUUGUAUUAGCUAGUAGGUGAGGGAAUGGCUCACCUAGGCGACGAUACAUAGCCUACCUGAGAGGGUGCACGGCCACCAUGGGACUUGGACACGGCCCAGACUCCUACGGGAGGCAGCAGUAGGGAAUCUUCGGAAAUGGGGGCAACCCUGACCGAGCAACGCCGCGUGAGGGAAGAAAGGUUUCGGAUCGGAAAGCUCUGUUGUAAGUCAAGAACGGGGGUGAGGGUGGAAAGUUCACACUGUGACGGUAGCUGACCAGAAAGCGACGGCUAACUACGUG
rnacentral:rRNA from 1 species